UACGUAGGGCGCAAGCGUUGUCCGGAUUCACUGGGUGUAAAGGGUGCGUAGGCGGGAGAGUAAGUCCGCGGUGAAAUCUCACGGCUCAACCGUGAAACUGCCGUUGAUACUGCUUUUCUUGAGUUCGGGAGAGGUUGAUGGAAUUCCAGGUGUAGCGGUGAAAUGCGUAGAUAUCAGGAGGAACACCUGUGGCGAAAGCGGCUCACUGGGCCUGACCUGACGCUGAGGAGCGAAAGCGUGGGGAGCGAACAGG
rnacentral:rRNA from 1 species